CCGCUGCCGGGAGGACCUCGAGAGCUCCUCGAUCCGCCGCCGCCGCCGCUCCAGGAGAGAAGGAGAUAGAGAGCUUUAUUUCACCUCCGAAUCAAAUACUUCAGAAAAAAAGACCAUCCCUCCCAUUUUGUGCAGGAGAAGGAAAAGCAGAGGCAUGGAGAGCUGCAGCCCAAAUACUCUAUGGAAGUACAUACUAAUUGUAUGUGGACACCUUUAUUGCAGUUGUUAAAGAGCAGAGCUGUUUCCUUCUCAAAAUCCAGGAGUCCCAGUAUGUUGAUAUCAAUUUAAAAGGUAAUUAUGUUGGGUUUUUAAAAAUAUAUUUGUCAACUUAUAUUCUGUAGAUGUUCGUAAGAAAUGUAAAUUUCCUAUGUGGGUAGCCAUAUCAUGAAACAUCUCUGUGUUUAGGUGAUUAUUAUCUGGACAGGUGCUGCAUUUGGAAGGUGCCUGCAUAUCUGUGUCUAAGAGAAUUAGGUCAUUUAAGAUGCUUUUGCAAUCUGUUUUUUCCUGCAGAAAUGUCUUUUAAAUGUGCUUGGGCUGUCUCAUCUCCAAGCAGCAGAAUGAAUAAAGAAACAGUAAGAUAUCAUAAAGAUAUAAAAGGAGACAGUUUUAUCACUGUGAGAGUAUUCCUAAUCGUACUUAACAAUUUAUGAAAUCAUAAAUCACAGAAUCACAGAUGGUGAGGUAAAACUUUGUAAUGCUUGAGGGCCUCUUAUUAUUCCAAGAGUGACUAAUGUAUAUAAACGCAUUAUUAUUUAAACAGAACAGUUCAUUGUGGUUGAAAUUAAGAUUUUGGUUGUAAAAGUGACUUCUUAUUAUGAUUUCUCAAUGUGAAAUGCCUUGCAGUAAAGGAGAAAAAAAAGAAAAUAUUACAUGUAAAUUACAUUUCCUAAGCCUAUUAAACAAAUUGAAUCUCUGCAUAUAACCCUGCAUUUACCAACCAGUAGAUUGGGCCUGAAUUCAUAGCCAUAGUGCAGAAUCCAGUCUUUGGUGCUUAUAUGUCUUGCAAAUUAUUUUUGAGUGAUCUUUUAAUGUAGUCUCUAAUUUCUCAACCAUAUGUAUGUAUUUCUCACUGCUGGGAAUAUUGGAUAAAUACUGGCAACCAAUAGUGAUGAAAUCACUGGAAACUAAUGGAAGAAUUAUCUCACCAGUAUCAGUGCAGAAGAACUCAUCUGAGGUUACAUUUUUUUGGGUUCUUGUUCUCAUUUGUGAGGAUUCAGUUGGAGAUGCUGUAGUUAUGGAUGGGCUACCAAUGUCAUGUCAAGUGCAACAAUUCAUCUUCACCUUGCUCAUGCUUGAUGUUGUUUCCACUGAAAUAAGCACUAUUAAGUACUUAUUUUAAUAAGUACUAUUUUGGUACCCUUGAGAGCACAGUUCUGCUGGCUUGGUUUUUUUUGGUUUUUUUUUUUUUGGCAAGGUAGUUCUUUUUUUGAAAAGUAUAUGCAUUGAGUUAGUGUUUUGCUGGAAUGUGAGAAGUGAAAGUGUGAAAGUGAGGCUGUUCUAAUUGAUAGAGCUUUUGGAAACUUUUUCCUUUCUCACAAAUUAAUGAAAUUGUCUAGAUUAAAUCAAUUUAGAUGGUGUGUGACAGUGAGAUAAUGAGCUGGCCUUUUUAUCUGAAAAUCUCUCUGCUAUUUGGAUUGAUGGCACCAGGCCAGUGUCUAAUGGAUGCAUUUGUCUGCAUUACAGAAGAAGUUCCUGCAGUCUGGACUUUUGCUUCAGAGAGGCUGAAGAUUUGUUGAAUUUUUUUACCCUAGAUGAAAAUUUUCCUAUUAGUGCUAUGUCAAAUACCUGUUGAUAUUCUUUGCAGGAUUUUAUUGUGUUUGUAAUAAUCAGAUUGACAUCUAUGCUUUCAGUGACUACUGGGAUGAAAUAAAGA